rnacentral:rRNA from 1 species
GAUGAACGCUGGCGGCGUGCCUAAUACAUGCAAGUCGAGCGAACGGACGAGAAGCUUGCUUUUCUGAUGUUAGCGGCGGACGGGUGAGUAACACGUGGAUAACCUACCUAUAAGACUGGGAUAACUUCGGGAAACCGGAGCUAAUACCGGAUAAUAUUUUGAACCGCAUGGUUCAAAAGUGAAAGACGGUCUUGCUGUCACUUAUAGAUGGAUCCGCGCUGCAUUAGCUAGUUGGUAAGGUAACGGCUUACCAAGGCAACGAUGCAUAGCCGACCUGAGAGGGUGAUCGGCCACACUGGAACUGAGACACGGUCCAGACUCCUACGGGAGGCAGCAGUAGGGAAUCUUCCGCAAUGGGCGAAAGCCUGACGGAGCAACGCCGCGUGAGUGAUGAAGGUCUUCGGAUCGUAAAACUCUGUUAUUAGGGAAGAACAUAUGUGUGAGUAACUGUGCACAUCUUGACGGUACCUAAUCAGAAAGCCACGGCUAACUACGUG